GUGGGGAAUAUUGGACAAUGGGCGAAAGCCCGAUCCAGCCAUGCCGCGUGUGUGAAGAAGGUCUUCGGAUUGUAAAGCACUUUAAGUUGGGAGGAAGGGCAGUAAGUUAAUACCUUGCUGUUUUGACGUUACCGACAGAAUAAGCACCGGCUAACUUCGUGCCAGCAGCCGCGGUAAUACGAAGGGUGCAAGCGUUAAUCGGAAUUACUGGGCGUAAAGCGAGCGUAGGUGGUUUUGUAAGUUUGAGGUGAAAUACCCGGGCUCAACCUGGGAACUGCCUCCAAAACUGCAUGACUAGAGUACGGUAGAGGGUAGUGGAAUUUCCUGUGUAGCGGUGAAAUGCGUAGAUAUAGGAAGGAACACCAGUGGCGAAGGCGACUACCUGGACUGAUACUGACACUGAGGUGCGAAAGCGUGGGGAGCAAACAGGAUUAGAUACCCGUGUAGUCC
rnacentral:rRNA from 1 species